GAACACAAAAUGGCGACACGUGGUUAGCAUUCGUCGCCAACGAGAAAUUGGGGUCGGCCCGAAAGCUCUAGAAUGCACCCCUCUUCCUCCCCGGGGCCUUCCACCUCCGCGAGUUUUAUGACUUAAAAAAGCCCACAGGCUGGUCUGAAGAGGAAGACAAACAUAAAGAUGAAGUGCUUAAUUCAAGGUCACACAAUGUCGGGGAUGGACCUCCAGAUUUCCUUACUGGAAAACAAGCUCAGGGCUCCCACUGAUUGUACAUUAUGGUGAGACGUGGUCUUGUAACACAGUGGUUAAGAAUGUGACUUUGGAGCCAGCCUGCUAGGGGCUGAAUUCUGACUCAGCCAUUUACUAACUGUGUGACCUUAGGGAGGAGGACCUGGUUGAUAGAAGAAUUUAUCUCGUAGUCUUAACAUCCACUGUAAUUCCAAACUUUGAGGACGAUAGAGAUCAGUGGGCUUUGACUGCCCAGCAUGCAGUCUCCAUUCUUAGGUGGGUUCCCAAGCCUGUAAAAUGUAAGCCUUAUGCUGCUGAGGGCCAUCUUGCCACCCUGAGGGAAACGCUGCCUGAGAAUGAAACAAGCAUAAGUAAAAGCUGAGCUGUGAGAUGGAGCAAGAUGAAGGCCACAUGACAUCUUUGGAGCACCUGGAUCUAACUGUGCCUUAAGCUAGUCUAACCCUGAACAUUUCAUCAUUUCAUUGACAUGAGCCCAGGUUUUCUUUUUUUUUGGAUGGAGUCUUGCUCUGUCGCCCAGGCUGGAGUGCAGUAGCUCAAUCUCGGCUCACUGCAAGCUCCACCUCCCGGGUUCACGCCAUUCUCCUGCCUUAGCCUCCCAAGUAGCUGGGACAACAGGCGCCCACCACCACUCCCAGCUAAUUUUUUGUAUUUUUAGUAGAGACGGGGUUUUACCAUGUUAGCCGGGAUGGUCUUGAUCUCCUGACCUCAUGAUCCGCCCGCCUCGGCCUCCCAAAGUGCUGGGAUUACAGGUGUGAGCCACUGCACCCAGCCCUCAGGUUUUCCCUUUUUUUACCCCUCCUUUUGAAAAUUUGAUGUGGAAUUUUGCCACCUGCAGCCAGAAGAGUUUUAACUAAUCAGUGCCAUAAAUUUUAUAUAGUUCUCCUUGCAAAAUGUGGAUCAGCCUUUCUCAGCAAAUCCUUUGUCAUAAAGUGCUGAAUUGUAAGUUUGUCAUGAGAAUCACAUGAGAUCAUGCAUGUGAAGAACCUGGCAUUAUCCUCCUCAUAGAAAAAAACCAGUAAAUAUUAACUACAGGAAGCAAGGAAGGAGUGGGGUGAGGGGAAGAAGAAGGGGUACUGAUUUAAAAGAACCCUGGAGUCCUAAGGAUAAUCUAGGAACCCUCAGACCCAAUCCGAUACCCCUAUUCUAAAUGCUCCUAGUGCCCUGUACCUUCCCCUCAUAAGCCUUCAUUAUCAUUGUAAUGAUAUGUUUAUGUAAUAUUUUGAUUAAUGUCUCUCCUUCACUGACCUAGCAGUUCUAGCAGGGCAGUGAUUUUGCUGUGUUGCAUCCCCAGCACCUAGUCUGGUAUGUGGCAUUCAGCAUAUGUUUAUUGAAUGAAUGGCCAUGUGGUUAUUCAGAUCCUCCUUGAUUAUUGGGGUUAGGAUUGUGGCAGAAGUGGCAAAAUCAGGGAGAGUAGUCCCUGUCCCCUCUGUAUCUUAUACACUGCCCACACUCCCAACACACAUACACAUACAGAGAAUUUUGUCUCAAUUAGAUAAUUAACUUCUGCUUGGUUGUAAACCAAACCACUGGUUCUUAAACUUUCAUUGGAUCAUUUUAUUGAAGAAUUAAAUAGUGUGGUUCUGGCCUAAUGUCUGGAAAGCCUUGCAGAGGAGUGGAUUAGGUCUUUGUGAUAAACAGGCAGCCUUCCCUGCUCCUGUGUCUUUAUAAAAUCUAUUUAACUGGAGUAGUCCACCCUCCCUCAGGCUCUUACAGGAAUAUGUUGGAGGCUGUAGGAAGGUGGGAAACCGAGAGGGAAAGGACUGGGCCGCUGGAGACUUCACUCAUUCCCUAGCAAGAAACAAAAGCAGUAAAAGGUGGCCCGAGGACAACCUGAAGCUCACUCCUUCAGCACUUUUGGCUGGAGGUCACUUGUUGGAGCCCCACUCAGAGCUCAGCACACCACCCCACCAGCAGCCUCCUCCUCCCAGCUGAGGCUGCAUUUCAUCCCUUCCCCCAGCCUGCUUUCCCUGAGAUAGGGGAGUGUUUCCCAGGGCCCAUGUGACUUCCACUGGCAAGUGACGAUUACCAAUGGUUUACUAGUCAGUGAAACUACCAAAGGCUUUUGUGCUGUAGUAAUCCUUUUCCUGUUUAAAACUCUGGGGAUUUUCUAAUGUUGCCAAUAGUUUUUCAAGUCAGCAAUUACUGUGUGGAUUAUGUAAUGGCUCGGUAUUA
rnacentral:lncRNA from 1 species